rnacentral:lncRNA from 1 species
UUGGGACCCAUGAUUCUGACCUUCAUACCAGUAGAAACCUUACCAGCAAAGACACGACCAAAGGCAAAGAACCUACCCUUGUCAGAGGCGGGAAUCAUCUUAGACACGUACAACAUGAGAGGACCAUUGGGGUCACAGUUCCUGAUGGCAUUGGCAUACUUAUCAUCAAGGGGACCUUCAUACAGAUUCUCAACACGGUACCUCUGGGCAGUGUGGGGAGAUGGCAAAUGGAAGAUCAUCAUCUCAAGUAGUGCAGUACUAGCAGGGAGCCACGUCUGCAUAACACGCUUCAUCAAAGGUUUAGCCACCAGCUCCUUCUCAUCAUUCUUCAUCUGGACACCAAGCUUCUGCAACAUAGGCCAUAACUUGUCCUUCUGGUCAUUCAUGCAAGUAGCGAUGAUUUGCUUGAUUGGUUCGUAGCAGAACUGGACAAAUCCACGCUUGCAGGUUGCUGAACCAGUGUUUUUGGUAGUCCAUUUCCUGGUGGCUGGGUCAAAGAAAUUCUCGCCCCAGAGUCGCUCCAUCAUCUUAGAUUCAUCAACACCAAACUUGGAAGCAUACAUCUUGGCAAAGUUGGUAAGUGUAAACGCCCAACCAUGGAGACCAGCAGAAAAUGCAACAGUUCCUUUCUCAGGAUAAACUUGAACAUCACCAAGGAGAGGAU